GUAUAUAGUAUAUAGAGAGGUAGGUAGUAUAUAGAGAGCGGUAGGUAGUAUAUAGAGAGAGGUAGGUAGUAUAUAGUAUAUAGAGAGGUAGGUAGUAUAUAGAGAGCGGUAGGUAGUAUAUAGAGAGAGGUAGGUAGUAUAUAGUAUAUAGAGAGGUAGGUAGUAUAUAGAGAGCGGUAGGUAGUAUAUAGAGAGAGGUAGGUAGUAUAUAGUAUAUAGAGAGGUAGGUAGUAUAUA